rnacentral:misc_RNA from 1 species
GAUGAAGAACGCAGCAAAAUGCGAUAAGUAAUGUGAAUUGCAGAAUUCAGUGAAUCAUCGAAUCUUUGAACGCACAUUGCGCCCGCCAGUAUUCUGGCGGGCAUGCCUGUUCGAGCGUCAUUUCAACCCUCAAGCACGGCUUGGUGUUGGGACUCGCGUUAAUUCGCGUUCCCCAAAUUGAUUGGCGGUCACGUCGAGCUUCCAUAGCGUAGUAGUAAAACCCUCGUUACUGGUAAUCGUCGCGGCCACGCCGUUAAACCCCAACUUCUGAAUGUUGACCUCGGAUCAGGUAGGAAUACCCGCUGAACUUAAGCAUAUCAAUAAGCGGAGGA